GAGCGAAAUGGGCUACAUUUUCUAUUACUAGAACAUUACGAAACUCUACGUGAAAUCCGUAGAAUAAAGGAGGAUUUAGUAGUAAAUUAAAACUAGAGUGUUUAUUGAAUAGAGCAAUGAAGCACGCACACACCGCCCGUCACCCUCCUCAAUUUCUCAACAAUUAAAAGUACAUAACACUAAUUACAAAAGAUUGAGAGGAGACAAGUCGUAACAAGGUAAGUGUACUGGAAAGUGCACUUGGAAAAAUCAAAAU
rnacentral:ncRNA from 1 species